rnacentral:misc_RNA from 1 species
GAUGAAAGAACGCAGCGAAAUGCGAUAAGUAAUGUGAAUUGCAGAAUUCAGUGAAUCAUCGAAUCUUUGAACGCACAUUGCGCCCGCCAGUAUUCUGGCGGGCAUGCCUGUUCGAGCGUCAUUUCAACCAUCAAGCCCUGCUUGCGUUGGGGUCCUGCGGCUGCCCGCAGGCCCUGAAAACCAGUGGCGGGCUCGCUAGUCACACCGAGCGCAGUAAUACAUCUCGCUUUGGGCGUGCGGCGGGUUCUUCCCGUUAAACACCCCCUUUUUACCAAGGUUGACCUCGGAUCAGGUAGGAAUACCCGCUGAACUUAAGCAUAUCAAUAAGCGGAGGA